rnacentral:rRNA from 1 species
GGCGUAGGCGGAGAUGUAAGUCAGAUGUGAAAGCCCGGGGCUCAACCUCGGAACAGCAUUUGAAACUAUAUUUCUUGAGGAUAGGCGGAGAAAACGGAAUUCCGCAUGUAGCGGUGAAAUGCGUAGAUAUGUGGAAGAACACCGGUGGCGAAGGCGGUUUUCUAGCUUAUUCCUGACGCUGAGGCCCGAAAGCUAGGGGAGCGAACA